UAAAAAUUACAGCUGAACGGGUUUGAUUUAUAAAUCAAAGUUUGAUUUAUAUCCAAGUUGUUCCAAAUACGAAUUUUUGCAAUUAGUUAAGUACAGUUAAUCAAGAAGUUCCACUGUUUAUCUGGGAGUCUGUCCCACUUUGCUAAGAGACCCUCUGUAGGACAGCUGCCCCCUCUUCUUGUUCUGAGCUGAACCGUGUUUGACACAACGCAUGCUUCCCACUUUCUCUCUGUCCACCGGUGAACUUGCUUCUUCCUACCUACCUGAAACAUCUGAAUGGAUCCGACGAGAAUGUUCGCCCUUCAGAACUGCAGGAUGUCACAGUCACCCAUGUCACUACUCACCGUGAGUCACUACUCACGGGUCACCCAUCAGCCGGCGUCUGUACCCACAGCCUAGUGGGUCCUGGGGCGGUUUACAGCCCAGCCGCUGGCAACCUCAGCUGUCAGUCCUCUCUGGGAAUUUCCUCAGCUGAAGAGAACGAUUGAGAAGAAGGCCACGCCUCCUUUCUGGGCAGCCACAGCCCUGAUUGGUCAGGGGGUUUGUAAACGCCCAAUCUCUUCACCUAAAAUGGGGGUGAGGAGGGAAGCGCCCUUUCGCUCUCCGCCUGACUCUGCGGCCGGUCCUUCCUGAACCAGGUCUUGGCGCUGCUGUUAUCAGAAGGAAUCUUAAGGAUCAGACUGACCCAGCCUUGACAUUCCUGACUCUGGUGAUCUUGCUGGCAUUUGUGUCUAGGACAAUGCAUCACUCUUAGACUAAAGAAGAAUCUAUUACACCAAUUCCAUCACCUAAAAUAUCAAAGUCCCCAUUCUGGCAAACUGGGAAUACGAAUGAAAGAGCAGCUAAUCACAAAGGUUUAAGACAGGUUAGGUAAAUGUCAAGGGUCAAGUGUGAGAGAAAAAUAUAAAAGUUCAACAAAAAAUGUUAAGCAGAGACAGACGAUAGUUGGAGGUAGGAUUUUGAUAUCUGAGGAAUCAUCUGGUAUUGGCCAUCUUUUAAGGUUUAAGGAUCUGAAAAACUGAUUCUUAAAAAAUAUUUGAAAAUAGUUCAACCUAUUCAUGACCCCUAGGAUACUGCGUGGAUUGGCUUCUGAUGCUUCUUCCCUCUUUUGACAUCUUCCCCAGAAAGUUCUGACCUGACCGUUCUUAACUAUGCUAUCUACACCUCUUGCUGUUGUUCCAACUUGAAAAUCACAUCUGGCUCGACAAUAUCAGAGAACUGGAUGACGGAACACAGCUCCUAACUGCUUAGACUUCAGAAAUCCCCCAAAUAAAGAAGGUAGAACUUCAGCGUC